GGUCCCGUGGUGUAGCGGUUAACAUGCCUGCCUGCACGCAGGAUUCGCGGGUCGAUUCCCGUCGGGACCGCCA
rnacentral:tRNA from 1 species